rfam:Myotis lucifugus cont2.28037, whole genome shotgun sequence.
GGCGGUUCUCGGGUGACACACCCUGGAAUCGGGCUCCCUCCUCUCUGGUUCCGGGUGCAUCACCUGAGAACUGCA